CCUGCUUCACUAGACCCGAAAAUUACUACCGAAAUCAGUCCAUAAAAUUUACAAAUAUUUAUCCUAAAAAUCUGGGAAAUAAGAAAGUUUUGGAACAUUAAACGUUAAACCAACUACCAAGAAAACUGACCGGCAAAAGAAAAUACGCAAGGAAGAAAGAAGAGGUAGGAUCGAGAGAAAAUGAACCAGUAUUACCUGGAAACAAUGCCGGUGACAUUGUCGACCCAACGUUCAGCAGCAUUUACUGAGUUGCUGGGAAAGUGUUCUGUGUUGGUGGCUUCUUGCAGCAUGGGCCUGUCUUCCAUGUGGCUGUGUGCACGACUAGCAUAUCCUAGCAUGGUUUGCCGUUGCACAUCCCAGUUUUCAGUGCUCAAGCUGAUUACCUGAUGUUAUCAGACUUGGACUCUAAAUGAAAUUUUGUCAUUAGCCGAGAGAC